rnacentral:rRNA from 1 species
GACGAACGCUGGCGGCGUGCUUAACACAUGCAAGUCGAGCGGAAAGGCCCUUCGGGGUACUCGAGCGGCGAACGGGUGAGUAACACGUGAGCAACCUGCCCCUAGCUCUGGGAUAGCUCCGGGAAACCGGGAUUAAUACCAGAUACGACCACUUUAGACAUCUGCUGUGGUGGAAAGGAUUCCGGCUAGGGAUGGGCUCGCGGCCUAUCAGCUUGUUGGUGGGGUAACGGCCUACCAAGGCGACGACGGGUAGCCGGCCUGAGAGGGCGA